rnacentral:misc_RNA from 1 species
UGGUGUAAGAUCCGCCGCUUGAUGGGAAAACCUCGCAGAUGUUCUCCAGCUUUUUUUGAGGAAGAGCGAGGAGCCCUGGAAGCCAGACGUACCAAGAUCAGACUUCUACAACAAAGGAAAAUGUCAGAGCUACAAACCUUCAAAGAUUUACCCGAGGAGAUUCCCAUGCACCUUGUUAUUGGGACAAAAGUUACAGCCCGUCUGAGAAAACCCCAGGACGGGUUGUUUACAGGAGUGGUGGAUGCGUUAGACACGGUCACCAACAGUUACAGAAUCACGUUUGACCGACCGGGAAUCGGCACCCACUCUAUCCCAGACUAUGAAGUUCUGAGUGUGGAGCCGCAGGAGACUAUCCCACUGUCAGCAUUUCAGCAGAAGCACCGACCCAGGCAGCCCACUCUGUUCUCUCCUCCCAAGUUUGUUCCUAGUCUUGGCUCCCCCAACCCAGAGCUGGAUAACGACCCGCUGCUGAGUGGUUCCACCUUCACAGGGAAACUCCUCAGUCUGGAGGGCGGCACCUACGGGGGAUUCCCCAUCAAGUUCCUGGUCCAAGUGACAAGACUUUCCAAAAUCCUUUCACUGAAGAAAGACUGGAUAAACCAACUCAAAAAUUUAAACACAGAAGCAGAAAAAGCGAAAUCAUUCCAGCAGCCCAUCAGUCGAGACUUUCAGAAAAAGUAUGCGACUACUGUCCUGGAACUAGAGCAACUUAACAAACAGCUGAGCGACUGUCUGGGAGGGGUGCAGAACUACUGCAAAGAGCUGGCUCCAGACAUGGGUAUGACCCCGCUUGAUGAACCCUCACAGAUCAAGACCAGCUGUGAUGAAGAGGCUGCAGAGAUUGUCAACAGGAUUAGUGGGAUGUUCCAUAAAAGGACCUCAAAGAACCAUAGAGUGAUUGAUUUGAUCUCAAGUUUGACUUCACUCAUGCUGCAAGUUAGGACUUUUUCUGAACGUGAAUUUAACUCCUUCGAGUUCAAAUGUCUACAAGAUACACUUAAAGAAAUAAAAGAUAAAUUAGAUGGGAACAGCAUAAAUGCAUUCCAGAACAACGUAGAAAUCCAUAUAAAUCACAUACAGAGUGGACUCAGUCAGAUGGGGAACCUCCAUGCAUUCUCUUCCUCCACUUACAAAGUCUGACCAGGUGAAAGGUCAAGGCCAGUUUGAUUGACAUUGAAUGACCUGCAGGGUCACGACAACUGAAAGCAUGCCCCAUCUUGUUAUGGAUUAGAAGCAGGUCUUGUUUAGUUACAUUAGUGAAGGAAUGUGUGCAUGAUUGUGAUAAAGCAGUUGCUGUACUAUGAAGUUGUUAAACAACUAGAAAUUUUAAAAUGAGACCAGUGUUGUGUAAGAUGAUCAAAAUAAUGAUUUAAUGAUGUCAAGCAUUGUAUACAAAACAUUUGUUGUUGAUCAUGUAGGAUUUUCUCUGUGAAUACUCUUAGAAUUAUGUUAGUGAAUGUACAUAAUGGUAUUAAUGCAAUUAUGUAUGUAUGCAUGGUACAUGUGUGUACAUGUAAGAAAAAUUCAAGGAUGAAUUGUCAUAUCAUAUUGAUAGUUCAAUAUAGAGACAUUGUUUUCAUGGAGAUACAAUAAAAUUGUUGUAAU